CGCGAUCGAGCUGGCCGAGCGGCUCGCGGCGCUCGCGCCGCCGUCGCUGAACCGCGUGUACUUCACGCUCGGCGGCUCCGACGCCGUCGAUUCCGC
rnacentral:tRNA from 1 species